rnacentral:rRNA from 1 species
AGAGUUUGAUCCUGGCUCAGAUUGAACGCUGGCGGCAUGCCUAACACAUGCAAGUCGAACGAGAAAGGGACUUCGGUCCUGAGUAAAGUGGCGCACGGGUGAGUAACACGUAGGUAACCUGCCUCUAAGUUUGGGAUAACCUGUCGAAAGACGAGCUAAUACCAAAUAAGACCACGGUCUCUUUGGAGACAGGGGUCAAAGGUAGCCUCUAUUUAUAAGCUAUCGCUAAGAGAUGGGCCUGCGUACCAUUAGCUAGUUGGUGAGGUAACGGCUCACCAAGGCAAAGAUGGUUAGCUGGUCUGAGAGGAUGAUCAGCCACACUGGAACUGAGACACGGUCCAGACUCCUACGGGAGGCAGCAGUGGGGAAUAUUGCGCAAUGGGCGAAAGCCUGACGCAGCAACGCCGCGUGAGUGAUGAAGGCCUUCGGGUCGUAAAGCUCUGUCGGAGGGAACGAAUGCUCCCGAGGUUAACAGCCUCGGAAGGUGACGGUACCCUCAAAGGAAGCACCGGCUAACUCUGUGCCAGCAGCCGCGGUAAUUC